rnacentral:lncRNA from 1 species
CCAAACCGGCCAGAUAUCCAGAUUCAUUGUCAUCCAAUAUUAGUAAUGGGGUACAACAUCUCAACGUGAACGUUAAAGACGAUUCCAAAGUGGAUUCAGGUUAUGACUGGGAUGCUGACAUGAUGAGAGGAAUUACAUCAUUUACAAGCAUUGUUGGAUGACGUCUAUUAUGGAGUAUCCACAAGACAACGGGCCGCCUGCCGCCGUAGGUCAAUGUGAACGUGGGGCCGUGGGCGCUGGUAGCGCACUGGUGCCUGUGUAGGACAAGGGCCGGGGAGAGGUGUAAGUGGAAGACGAGACACCUCUCCCGCGUGUGCUACCAGCAUCGAGAUGUUUACACGGCGGAAGAGAUUAUACAGAUGAUAAAUCGCCGACGCCCACGCUGCCAGGCUAUGACCCUUAAAGGGCUACGGUGCUCAAGAGAUUCAACAAGGCAGUUUGUUCUGCAUUAUUGCACACAGCAUUAAUGUGAGGAACCUAUUGAAGCAUAGCUGAGGAAUGGAAAGAGUCCCUCAGGAAUAGCAGGAGGGCUAGGAGAGAAAGUACAUCGUUAUCGAAGGUAAGUGCUUAUUUGAGAAGAGUAAGG